AUGUGUGAAGGACACCUAACAGCUUCUCUAGUAUUACUACUUAAAAUAAUCGGCUAAGUUACAGGUUUUACAAUCAAACUUUAUUUUUGCCUGUAGUGCUUUGUAUUGUAACCAAAAAAAUAAGAGUUUAUUAAAAGUAAACUCUCACGAGAGCCAAUUGUAACUAAAAACUGAGCUUCAAACAAGGGAGUCUUCUACAUCAUUCCUGAAGAACUUCAACCUGCGGGCAACAUACAACUGAUGCUCAAUAAACACAACUCACUACAGCUUCUCCAGUCUUGCUCCUUACAAGACAAUCAACAGCAGUUGGAGUGUGUUUUUAUGAGUUGAUGGCUGUAGAAAAACAUGACGCUGAAAGCUUUCCUUUGACUGAUGAAACAUGAUGAAACAUAAACCCACUGGACAGGUUCUAACAUAAUUUGCUUUCUCAGGAACUUCUGAAACGAUGGCUCAACUUAACAUCAGCAUCAAUGACUCGGCUGCAUCCGAUGAUGAUUUACUCUUUAGGAAUUUAAUGGAACUCCAAAGUACUCAUUUUAUGGAAGGUUAUCCAGAACUUGUAUAUAUCCGUGUCCUUUCAGUCAUUGAGAUCCUAGUCAUGAUCUUAACUCUGAUCGCCUUGUGUUUCAUCAUCAAAUCCAGGCCUGCUGCUGCAGUUUUUGUUAGUAAUUUAAUACUUUCAGAUCUCGUACAGGUCAUUAGUAUAUUAAUAGCAGCAACAAUCUCAUGGCAUGAGAGACUGGUUCCGGCAUAUAACUAUUCUUUGAUGGUGGGUCUGUAUUUUAUGGCAUGUGUUGCUUUUGAACGAUAUCUUCUGAUUUGUCAUCCUAUCUGGUACAAAUCUCACCAAUCACUCAAACUCUCUUGUUUUAUUUCUGUGAUCAUCUGGUUUGUGCCUCUAAC